rnacentral:rRNA from 1 species
CCCUUAGAUGUUCUGGGCCGCACGCGCGCUACACUGACGAAGUCAGCGAGCAUCUCCUACGCCGAAAGGUGCGGGGAAUCUUGUGAAACUUUGUCGUGCUGGGGAUUGAUUUUUGAAAUUCUUGAUCAUCAACGAGGAAUUCCUAGUAAGCGCAAGUCAGCAGCUUGCGUUGAUUACGUCCCUGCCCUUUGUACACACCGCCCGUCGCUACUACCGAUUGAAUGGUUUAGUGAGAUUUUUGGACUGGAACUCUCUUGUUCAGCAAUGAACGAGAGGGACUCUGGGAAGCUAUUCUAACUGUAUCAUUUAGAGGAAGUAAAAGCCGUAACA